AGCGAACGCUGGCGGCAGGCUUAACACAUGCAAGUCGAACGGGCGUAGCAAUACGUCAGUGGCAGACGGGUGAGUAACGCGUGGGAACGUACCUUUUGGCUCGGAACAACCCAGGGAAACUUGGGCUAAUACCGGAUAGGCCCUUACGGGGAAAGAUUUAUCGCCGAAAGAUCGGCCCGCGUCUGAUUAGCUAGUUGGUGAGGUAAUGGCUCACCAAGGCGACGAUCAGUAGCUGGUCGAGAGGAUGAUCAGCCACAUUGGGACUGAGAGACGGCCCAGACUCCUACGGGAGGCAGCAGUGGGGAAUCUUGCGCAAUGGCCGAAAGGCUGACGCAGCGACGCCGCGUGGGGGAGUG
rnacentral:rRNA from 1 species